CUUCAGGGUUUAAGGUUUCAGAUGCUCUUCCCCCUCCCUCUUCGGGGGUGUGGUACUCCUCCCAAGCUGUAGUUCCGCAGCAUUGCGCAGGCGCCAUGCUCAACAGCUGGCUCGGGGUUUUAUUUUUUUUCCUCUUUUUUUUAAGUGCUGCAUGCCGGGAGAUGUAGGCUGCCUCCUUUUCUACAUUGUGGAAUGAAUGCAGCUUGACACCGCGUUACCUGCCCUGUCUCUAAGGCUGGACAAUCCGAGGAGAUGCUCCAGAAGAGAGCCAUUGAGUGGCCUCCUGCUGAAAUCAAAAGGCACCCUCCAAUGUCCUUGGAAAUUUGUCUCUUGGACAGUAUAUCUACACUGGAGAAUGGAGGUGCAGAAGUGGUGUUGAUGACCGUCACCCCAGCUUUCAAAUUGAUUGAAAACGCAGCAGAAAGUUCCAUAGAUUACUCCCCAAAAGAACGGAGCGGGACCGCAACAGACUAUUAUUAAAAGACCUUUUUUCCUUCAUUUUCCUCUUCCCUGAACUAUGUAACAAAUCCCCCCAAUAAAAGUAGCAUUUAUUUUAACAGUAACCCUCUCUAUCCGGUUAUUUUGUAUCUUUUCUCUGACUCCUUUCCUUUGCAUGCAAUCUCUCUCUCCCUCCCGUCCCUUUAAACUCCGGUUGAGGUUUCCCUGCCAUAGAUUAACAUGGCAGUCGAUAUAAAUUGGCUCAUAUCUCUAUCAAAAUUACCCCUAGAACGCUCCUCUUUUAGUCUUAACCCUUUCUAAGGCUCCUGACUCGAAGACAACCAGCAGACCCGGAAUCGGUCCAGUUUUCGGCAUCUCAACAGCUGACUGUCAAAACGGAACCGCGUCUCUUUCCAAGCCAAGUUGCUGCUUUAUCCCGGGUUUUUUCUCUCCCCGCGACUCGCGGAAUGGUUCUCCCUGGCCCCUUUCUGUGAAAUGGGGAUGGGGGGAUCGCUCUCUCGCGGGGGAGACAUAGUUCACCGAGGACCCUCACCCUCUACAGCUGCCAAGGGAUGCCCGGACGGGGGCCCUCCACGUUUCAUUCAUAAUUUCAUAAUUUUAUGAAAGAGAAGAACACUCUUCCCCACACCUACCCCUUGGACUUAUGAAAUCCUAUACCUCCAAAGACUUACUAACCCAUAUGUGCCCCUUCCCCAUGCCAUCUCUAUGAAUUCCUUAUGAACUCUUUCUCCUCAUGCAUUUGUGAAUAUUCAUAUUCUAUGUACUUGGACACACUCAUGACUCGCUGUGUAUGAAUUUCAAAUCGUUGGGCUAACUUCAUGAAUUGUGAAAUCAUGCUGCUUGAACCCCACUUCUAUAUUGGAUUCCCCAGAUGUUGUGAACUUCGUCCUUAUCAAAUGUUUUCUAUUGCUUAUUUCUAUUGUUUAUAUCAUUCAUGAUUCCCCUUUAUGCAAUGUCACCCACCUUUAUGGAUUCUCCUUUAUCUCCUUUAUCUACCUAUCUGCCUAUAUGUAUUUAUACUCUUUGGGAUCCCCGGAAGAUAUGUGUUUUUCCCAGCUGGGUUUAUAUUCCAACUUUAUUUUUAAUUUUCAUUUUAUCCCAUAUAAUUGGCAGAUCAUGAAAUCAAAUGGGAAAUAUUAUGACCCCAACCUGAACUCUAGCCCCAUGACUCAGACCUCCCCUUCCCAAAAACAAAAGGAUAAUCUGCCACAGUUUAAUCCCAUCUCAUUCCGAUCGCAUGGACAAUAUAGGGCGAGUCACCAAACUAAAGGUGACUCGCCCCCAAGGCAAACAUUGUCACAUCUCAGGCCAGGACGCCGCAGGAAGGCACCCUGUGGGGCCGUCAAUGAUGGCUCAUCAAAUCACCACUUCCCGUCUGACACCCCAAAGACAUAUCUAAAAUCUGUGAACGUGACAGGACCCCGGACAUCCUUGAUGGGUGUCAUUAAUUCCUUUAGAAAUUGGCUGGGCCAGAAUUAAUCAGAUGUUUCCUGUCCGGUCACCUCUUUGUCUCAAUAGCUCCCGCCUCCUCCUCUCUGAUUGGCCCGAGAGGGGACAAAAAGCGGCUCCCCAUUGGGCCAGCAGAGCAAGGCGGGAAACGAAAGCCCGCCUCGUUCAACCUCUCAGCCUAUCCGCGAUCAGAUGGGCAGGGAAGCGGGGCGGGAAAUUCAAAGGGCUGUCAGACCAAAACAUUGUAUAAAUAUGGCUUUAUUUGAAACAUAUGUUACGCUAGUAGAUUGAAUGAUCACUAUUAGCGUCCUUUUCAGCUGAAUUGCUCAAUAAAACUCCUUGGCGGAUUUUCCUUCAA